rnacentral:lncRNA from 1 species
UGAUAAUUACGUGGGAGGCAGGUGGCCAAUCAGAUAACACCUCCGGCAUCAUAAGUGCAAGCACUGGUAACACAGCACACUUCAGCCUUAAACCACUAGACGAUUCGGAGGGUGACAUUUACGUCUGUCGAGUAUCCCUCCCUGAGUCUGAAACAAAAGUCAAUGAACCUGAAGGCAAAGGGAACGGUCUCCAUGAGAACCUCUAUCGCGCCAACCGUAAAGAAAGCAGCCUUCAGCGAGCACAGACAAUCCUCACCGGCAUGGUCAUAGGGCUCAAUGCAAGUGAAGUUUCUGUCCAGUGGGUGAAGAAUGCCCUCCUUGAAGGCCGCCAUGUGAAUCCCCAAGCCUUGAAGGGCAGCAUCAAGGAUUCCCUCUUGGCCUUCAGCCAGGUGGUAAUCCCCUACUCUGACUGGAACAACGGCACUUCAUACUCCUGUACGUUUACCCGCACAGCAGACACCGUGGAGCCCACCCAGAGGCCGGAGGAGAAAUCCCAGGGUGAAAAGUGAUGCACACCCCUUCCUCAGCAUCACAACCUCAGUUUUCCCUCUUCAGCCUAUCCCAGAUUCAAUAAUAUCCAUGUAA